GUAAGUAGGUAAGACCCCAGGAAGAUGACCUGGUUGAUCGGCUCGAGAUGGAAGCGCUGUGAGGCGUGUAGUUGACGAGUACGAAUCGGUCGAGGACUUAACCUACUCUUUACAUCGCGAAUAUUUCUCUGUGUAGUUUUCAAGGUACAACAAAAGUAUAACAAAAAAAGCCUGUUACACUCUUUCAAGUGUAACAGGCUUUUUUACUUUUUUUUGCAGUCCGAUCAAAAGAAUUGUGAUUUUUUCUUUGCUCUUAGGGGUCAAUUGUGUCUAGCCUUGCAAGUAAAAAAUCUACGGCACAUUGACCUUUUACCCGGGAAGCCACCGCUCAAAGACAGGGAUAAGUUGCUCCAGUUUAAUUGGCUUACUGAUAUAAUCAUCCAUUCCCGCACGAAGGCACCUAUCUUUAUCUCCUUGCAUUGCCAAUGCGGUCAUAGCAACAAUUGGUGUCCGUUGAUUCUUUUUGGAUUCCCAUUUUCGGAUCGCUUCGGUAGCCUGAAAACCAUCCAUUUCUGGCAUAUGGCAAUCCAUGAGAAUAAGGUCAUAUUCCUUUUUCUGUAGCGAAUGAAUAGCUUCUAAACCGUUAUUGGCAAUAUCCACAGUCAAACCCAUUUUGCUUAAAAGGUUCAGAGCUACUUUUUGAUUUACUUGAUUAUCUUCAACAAGUAAGACUGGCUUUUCCAGCUCCCAAACUGGAUAGGUUUUUGCAGGACCGUUGUCAAACGAAUCAACUUGAUUUUGAUGUACAGGUUCGGCUACGGUUUGAUAAGGAAUCGAGAACCAGAAGAGGGAGCCCUCACCGAUCUUACUAGUAACACCAAUUUCUCCGCCCAUGAGUUCAACCAAUUGUUUUGAAAUGCUCAAACCAAGCCCGGUACCACCAUAGAGACGCGUUGUUGAAGAAUCUGCCUGAAUAAAAGGGUUGAAAAUAUUAUGAAUAACUUCUUCCUUAAUUCCUAUACCCGUGUCUUUUACUUCGAACUUUACUUUCAUGAUGUCAUUAUCUUUUGACUCUAUAGUAAUUUGAAUUAAUACUUCACCCUGAAUGGUAAAUUUGAUCGCAUUCGAUACCAAAUUGAUUAAAAUUUGACGCAACCUGUUUCGAUCUCCGAUAACCCAAUCAUCUACUUCGCUUGGCAUUGCUAAGGAUAGAUUUAGACCAUUUUUCCCUACCUUUUUCUUAAAAAGAUUAAUCACACUUAUAGCAAUUUGACGUAAAUUGAAAACAGUGUCCUCAAGACGCAUUUUAGCAGCUUCGAGCUUCGAAAAAUCUAGUAUAUCAUUGAGAACAUGGAGAAGCACUUCAGCUGAGUCUGAAAUGGCUUCUGUAAAUUCUCGUUGCUCCUCAGUGAGAGAAGUUUCUGACAGUAAAUGAUUCAUGCCUAGAAUUCCAUUCAAGGGGGUGCGAAUCUCAUGGCUCAUUAUAGCAAGAAAAUCACUCUUUGCUCGAGUGGCUUCUUCUGCUUUUUUAUAAGCCUGAUCGAGUUGAAUCAUCUUUUCCUUUAUUGUCUUGAAUUGCUUAACAUUUUGCGCAAGAAGGGUCGUUAUUUUGAGAUGACCCUCAAUCAUAUCUCUCAUUUUUUCCAUCAAUUCGAUGAUACUAUUGGAAUAUAAAUUCUCUUUAUCAUCUAACAAACAUAUGGUACCAAAUACGCUACCGUUUGGCUUUCGGAUGGGGAAACCAAGGUACGCUAUUAGACCGUAUUUAAGGUCUGGAUUAUUGUUCCACUCAUCAGAUUUCAAGGCAUUGGGCACCAGCAACUUACUCUGUGUUUUUAUUACUCUUUCACAGUAUAAUCCAGAAUCAUAAAGGGCUUCUUUAUCUUUGAUUUUAUAAGGGUUACCUUGGCUAUUGCUGGCAACAAAGACCUCAAUUUCGCCUGAACAGAUACGCAUGAUUAGCCCUACACGUGUGCCAGAUAAUCUUGUUACAAGAUCAAUAAUACUUUGCCACUCUGAUAUAAUAUCGCAUGAUACGUUUUCACAAGAUAUUUUUAUGUUAUUGUUAAUAUCUUCAAACAUUCAAACAUCUCCUGACAAAUAAAAACAGCCCUGACUUUUAAAACUGGACUGUGAUUUUAUGAAGGCUUUUAUCGAUUUCAUAGACAUCAGUAUGUUUGGUUACUGUGAGUAUUUCUUUCAGAACUUCUUUAACGUUAGUUAGGACUUUAUUUCAACCUUUUGAUGAGUAUACUUAUAAAGAUUAAUUAAUAGACCAAUAUCUACACUAUCGAUGAAGAGACUUGAUUGAUCUCGAUAUUUAGCAUAUUGACGUCAUUGUUAAUGAAAGGGAAAAAUGUAAUCUCGUACAUAACGAGCAUCUUUAAUUGUUAAAUUAGAAGAAAAAAUUAGAAGAAAGAAUGAGCCGCGCCUUGUCGGCCUCCUAUCCUAUAUGCCAUGUUGAUCAUCAUCUUAUUUUAGGAAAUUGUAUUUAGGUAAACAUUAUAUAAUUAUUCAACAAAUUAUUAGUAAGCCCUUCUAUUUUAUGCAAAAAUGUUUA
rnacentral:rRNA from 1 species